AAAUAGCUUCCAAAAGUUUUCCUAAAAAACACCACAAUUAAUGGACACUACUCGUAGCCGGCGCGUGCUGCGGCCGGGCCUCCCGUGCCACCCGCCGCGUCACCCCCGCUCUACCCACCGCCGCGAAGUGACCGUUCUGCAACUGUUUUGUUAUUGUAAAAAAUUAACACCCUAUUUUUGUUGGUUAAAUAGACUCUCCGAAUGAUACCUAGGCCCAAAAAUAAAUUUGGCCGGUAGGUUUAAUUAUUUCACCUUGUAUAGUUAAUCAGGGUAAGUUCGGAUACAGGGUAAGUCCGGAUAAUUCAAGUUAAUGCUAAAUUAAACUAAAGUUACGGUUACUACAUUUUGCGGUUACAGUGCAAUAUGGCGUAUAUGCACCGUAGCGCCAGGCAAAAAAAAACACUGACUAAUUUAGUGAUAAGUUGAAUUAUCCGGACUUACCCUGUGUCCGAACUUACCCUGAUCAACCUUAGGAGUCUAAUGUCGCCUUCAUGUUAUCGAAAGCUUAUGUCAAUUCCAUACAUUUAUGGUCGGCGAUUCUAUAAAGUAGAUAGUAAAUAAAACGUGGCUCGGCCAUCGCUAUGUGUCAUGGCGCUUGUGAUGCGCUAUGUCGCGUACGUUUUUGACGUCUAACUUCGUUAUCGAAACUAGGGAAUGCAUUUCGACUAAGGGUAUACAAUAUAUGCGUCCCACAUGCUCCAUUUAUCAUGGUUUUAGAUGCUGUUGGUGGGCUAAACAUUAAUUUUAUGAAAUGUCUGUUUAAAUAAAUUACAUUGAGUAGACGCCAAAGUAGCUCCAACAUAAAGCAAUGACGGUUUAAACGUCUAUGAGCCUGUAGGGACAUUUGAAUUUUUACUUGCCGCCUUUAUGCUUAUAUUGACAUGGCUUACAAUUUACAUUAAGGUGACUCGAGAGUCCCUUAUUUUAAAUAGUGUUCAAGUAUUCGAUCUUAAAAUGUAAGAGUAAUAAAGAUGUAUUUUAACUAAUAGGGUUUGUGGUUAAUUUUAUGUCAGAAAAGAUUUGGUGUAAAUACUGCUACGAUCAGCCAUGAAAUCUUAUUUUUCGAGUAUACUUAAAAAUAGUUAGUAAGAGUCAGUUUGGUCCUCUGUCGGAACAGCAUCCGUCGAUAUUUUAAACUCUGUUUCAAAAACAAUAAGUAGCAUGCAGGGCUCAUGUAUCUAAUGUUUAUUUAAAUAAAUAUUUGCCUGUGCCUUCCUUUUUUAAGUUUUUUACAGAUACACUUCUUUUUAAUUGCUUUGUUUAUUGGUUUAUGAUUUGAGAAUGAAAAAUUAAAGCUCCAAGGUAAAAUGAAGUUAUAAAAAAUAUGAAUCGGAACUUUUCUACAUUCUUGAAGAGGCUUCUUAACGAAAUUUCAACUCUGAGAGUAAAUUAAACUUUGCCCUAAUCAAUUGCUUUUGUAACAGAGUUUAAGCGUUAUAUUAUUUCAUAUAAAUGUGUAUAUAGCUUAGUUUAUAAAUAAUGUACAAAAUUGAUUCCAUAUAAUGGAUUGACGGUAGUGGAGGGAUAAUUACGAAACUUGUUAAUUUAUAAUAUAGAUAGGACGUUUCAAAUUCUAAACUAUAUUAAUAUCACCGCUUUAUAAAAUUACUGAUUAUUAUGAACUUUAUAGUGUUAUAAGAUGCUUGGACCCAGAAGAUUGUUAAAAGGUAAUGGAGUUUCAAUGUCAAGAAAGAAAUAGCAUUGACGUGUAGAUAAGUCAUUAGUCGAAAGAAAUAUCAUCAUCAAAGAAAUUGAUACAUAAGUCCUCCGGUGGACCUCCGUUAUUUGGCCGGGUUAUGUCAAGUCAAGAUCCGUCGGCUGGGUUUAAUAUAACUCUACGAAAUAAAGAAGGUUCGCCAUCUGCCUAUAAAUCGAUUUCUCUAUUGGUGAUUACUUUUAUUAAUAUUAUAAAAAUAUUUGUCUCAUUGUCAAUGCUAUAUAUAAAAGAAACUUAUUGCACUAUGAUAUUAAAAUUUGAUUAGGUUAAGGUAAAUCAGCACGGCUACACCUAAUCAUUAAGUACCACUUGCGCAAAUGGGUUAAAGUUAACCUUUGGUUAACUGUCAUGUUUGUCGUCUUCAUGAAAGAGACAACAUGAUAUUUAAACCCAGGGUUACUUAAUCAAAUUCUUGCAAGUGGUGGUUAAAUUUUAAGUAGUAAAAAGGUCCAGUAUCAUUAAUGAGUUGGUAUUAAUACUCGUAUAAACAUAAAGGUGCGCGUAUUUUAAUAAUAUAAUAUUAUAGCUUGUCAUAGUGGUCGUCAAUUUAUAGAAGUGGUAAUCAGGGUAAGUUGUGAUAAUUGUCCGGAAUUACCUGUAUCCACACUAAUUUCACACUAACCCUGUAUCCGGACUUACCCUGUAUCCGAACUUACCCUGUAUCCGGACUUCCCCUGUAUCCGGGCUUACUCUGUAUCCUGACUUAUCCUGAUUACCUUUAAGUGCCCAAAACGGCGCCGUUACAUAAGUGCCUAUAACGCAAGUGUAUUAUAAAUGUACGAUUUCGAAGUCAAAUUAUUUUUAAGUGUUGCAAUAAAAGGUGUAUAAUGUCCAUUCCAGUUCAAUGCUAAAGAUAUAAUCCUUUGUCGAUACGAAGGUACUUUGUAAAUAAACUACCCUGUAGGAAUUCGCGCGUAUAGUCGAAAAAAACAUCUCCGCCCAUUGAUUUUAUUAUCGACUCUAUCUUUAACAAAACAGAGUCUACUUUCCCACAAUACGUGAUUGAUUCUCUCUAUAGUCUAUUUUUGGAAAGAGUCUACUUUUCUAGUCUGUUAGAUUCACUGACCUCCUUUAUACAAGUACGCGUACUUGUAUAAUGGAGGUCAGUGGUUAGACUAGAGUAGACAAAGAUAUUUAUCGACUGCACGCGAGUUCUUGAAGGUGUUUAAGUCGCAGCCAUCUAGUUGAAUUCUCCAGCCAAUUUGACGACUAGACUCGUUCAUUUAACGCGUUCUAAAAUUAUAUUUAGGCCUUAUUUUUUGGUUAAUAGAUGCUAGUCUAGCUUUUUCUCAAUUGUGAAGUUAAACAAAAUUUCUGCGUGAUGGUAUUUUAUUGUGUGGUGAACCUAUAAACAGCCUAGUCAUUGAACUGACCGGCCAACUCAACUACAUUGCUGCGACGUAUAUAUUCUUAUGAUCGUGAGUUUUGCUAGACACAAAUAUGAUGAUGUCUAUAUGAUGUCAAUACAACGAAUAAUAACAUUGUAAUAAGUGAAGCUGCCCCAAAACACAUACAUACAGUACUACCACGUUAAUGGCUUUUGGCAAUUACCGUUUCUCAUUUCUAUACAAAAACCUAGAUUAUCGAGAUCCAUUAGCAAGUUAGUUUCGCUGUACAAUGGACACGAAUAUAAUAGUGUUUUUAAACUUUGUAAAUAAUGACCAAUGAAAUGGUUCUAUUCCUUUUUUUAAAUAAUUAUUACGAACUCUCGACGUGAAUUUGUAUUAAAAGCAAUGAUAGCAAUUUAAUAUGUUGCUCACUUGUUGAUUCACAUUUGACAUUUUAGUAGUAAGGGACAUAAUAUGAGAAGAGGACUUCUGAGUCCGAUGAGACUUGACUGGAUAGUGAAAAAUAUGACAUAUUAAGUUGUAUGGUUUGAAAUUAAAUGUUUAGUUUCAACUACACCAACACCUGUUACUGUUAAUCUGUAAUUUAUAGAAAGAAAUUAUAGAAAGCUAUUAAAUAAAGAUUAACCAAAAUUGAACACUUUCUGAUGUAAAAAAGUGUUGACACUACAAAAGAGCAAAGUUGAUAUUGCCAACUGUACAGCUUAAUGUCAAUUAUUAAGGACAGUGAACAGAAAUUUUGAAAUCUGUUGUAUUCACAUAUUAUUUACAAUGCGACAUAAAAUUAAAGUAUUGAAUUGCUAGUUCCUAAAAUCUCAAUAAUCUGAACAAAAUACAAAUAAAUUCUGAAUCGAUGGAUUUCAUAGGAAUGAUUUGUUAAAAUUGAUUGGAAAGAGAAAUAUUGGUUCUUUAAUAUAUUAUUAGUAUGUUUAAUUAAUUCAUUAAUAUUUAUUUUGUUGAACACCAUAUAAAUGUAAAGGAAAAUAAAACUAAUGAUAU